AAACACCUCCAACGGACACAAUUUACGCAGCACAUGGACCACGAGCCUCUGCGCAUUCCGGGAUGGAUACGUACGUUUAUUUUGGCACCGCACUGGACUGUUUUCAUUAAGGAUACCUCCGCGCGUAACGGUGAAUUGUGGAGAAAACUACACCUUGGUCAGAUCUCCAUGAAUCGUGUCUAGUGAUUUCUAUUUCUUUAACAUCCAGACUACUUUUUUGAUCCAAUCUUUUGACUAAAAUGUGAUUGUUUGGCCGCCUGCGCGCGUCUCAGAGCCACCCAAACGCAUUUACGCACUGGAAACUGUCCAAAGGAACGUGGAUUUACUACUUCUUCCCAAGUCUUUACUACGAGGACGCGGGCGCUGCUUUCUUUCUGAGGCCCUGUGCCAAAAUGACCAUCGCGUCCAUGGGUCCAAAGAAGAGCCAAGACUGAAGAACCAAACCUCAUUUCUGUUCCAAUCCGAGCAAAUCCACAUCAGCUGCACCGGGAAAAAAUGGAAAGUGAGGUUUUUAGCCCUUUGCUGGAGCAGUUUUUGCUCUCACCCCUUGUCUGCUGGGUUAAGACCGUGGGGCAGCUGACUGUGACAGAUGGCACCAAAUUGUCCGAAUAUAUUGAGUUAGUGGAUGGGAUUUACCUGAACGAGAUCAUGCUGGAGAUAAAUCCCAAGGCCACCGUGCAGAGGACCAACAAGAAAGUAAACAACGACUCCACCCUUCGGAUCCAGAAUCUCUCCAUACUCAUCAGGCAGAUUAAAGCCUUCUAUCAGGAGACUCUACAGCAGCUGGUGAUGAUGCCUUUACCAAAUGUGCUGGUCCUGGGUCGAAACCCUCUUUCAGUUCAAGGUUUGGAAGAAAUGAAGAAGUUACUGUUGCUGCUUUUGGGCUGCGCCGUCCAGUGUGAGAAGAAGGAGGAAUAUAUCGACCGAAUCCAGACGUUGGAUUUUGACACUAAAGCUGCUAUAGCGUCCCACAUCCAAGAGGUUACUCAUAAUCAGGAAAAUGUCGUGGACCUUCAGUGGUUGGAAAGUGGAGACGUUCCCCCUGAGGACCUGGACAGUCUCUCCCGAAACCUGGCGUUCCACCUGAAGCACUUGGUCGAUGAAAGAGACACACAGCUGGAGACCAUAGUGGAGCUGACUCAGGAAAGAGACUGUGUGCAGUUGUCUCCUCUGGGCCCGUGUCCGGCUCAGUCUCCGAACGGCUCCCCGAGUCUGAGGAGAACCGAGAGCCGCCAGCACCUCUCCGUGGAGCUCGCGGACGCCAAGGCUCGGAUCAGACGCCUACGGCAGGAGCUAGAGGAGAAGAGCGAGCAGCUUUUGGACACGAGGCAGGAGCUGGAGAACAUGGAAGCCGAGUUGAAGAGGGUCCAGACGGAGAGUUACCAGCUGAUGUCCGACGCCCGGUCAGCUCGAGCGUACAGGGACGAGCUGGACGCGCUCCGAGAGAAAGCGCUGCGUGUGGACAAACUGGAGAGUGAACUGUGUCGAUACAAAGAGAGACUCCACGAUAUCGACUUCUACAAGGCCAGAGUCGAGGAGUUGAAAGAAGACAAUCAGAUUUUGCUGGAGACAAAGAACAUGCUGGAGGAACAACUGGACACGAGCCGGAGCCGCGCCGACAAACAUCACCACCUCGAGAAGGAGAAUCUGCAGCUCAAAUCAAAACUGCACGAUUUGGAGACGGAGCGUGACUUGGACCGUAAGCGCAUGGAGGAGCUGUUGGAGGAGAACUUGGUGCUGGAGAUGGCUCAGAAGCAGAGCAUGGAUGAGUCUCUGCAUCUCGGCUGGGAGCUCGAGCAACUCUCCAAAACGCCGGACCUGACUGACGUCCCGCAGAAGUCUUUGGGAGAAGAGGUGAACGAGUUGACGUCCAGCCGCUUGUUGAAGCUGGAAAAAGACAACCAGACUCUGCUAAAGACGGUGGAGGAGCUCAGGGGCGCAGCGACGCAAGACACUACGGCCAAACUGUCCAGAGCGAACCAGGAAAACCAAACGCUGAAGCAGAAGCUGGAGCAGGUGGAGGCUGAGCUUGUGGCCGACAGAGACUCGUUGCGCAGCUCUGAGGCUCUGAGCACGGACCUGAUGAAGGAAAAGGCUUUACUGGAGAAAACCCUGGAGACUCUGCGGGAGAACUCGGAGAGACAGAUGAAGGGUCUGGAGCAGGAGAACAAACACCUGAGUCACACGGUGGCGUCCCUGAGGCAGCGGUGUCAGGUCGGAGCGGAGGCCAGGGUCAAAGACGUGGAGAAGGAGAAUCGAGUCCUGCACGAGUCCAUCUGCGAGACGACCGCCAAACUCAACAAGCUGGAGUUUGAAAGGAAACAAUUGCGAAAGGAACUGGAAGUGGUGAAGGAGAAGGGAGAGCGGGCGGAGGAGCUGGAGGUGCAGGUGCAGAGGCUGGAGAGGGAAAACGAAAGUCUGCAGAAGAAAGUGGCAAGUUUGGGGAUCACGUGUGAAAAGGUUUUGACUUUGGAGAAGGAGAACAUGGAGUUGGAGGCUGAAGGUCGUCAUCUGAAAAAGAAGCUGGACACGUUGAAAAACAUGGCGUUUCGGUUGGAGGUUUUGGAAAAGGACAAUGUCCAAAUUGAACAAGAAAAUCUGGAGUUGCGUCGCACUGCAGAAACUCUACGAUCGGCCGGAGCGAAGGCGGCGGAGCUGGAGGCGGAGAACAGGGAGCUGGAGAGCGAGAAGAGUCAGCUGAAACGCAGUCUGGAGCUCCUGAAGGCCUCAUCGAAGAAGAACGAGCGAUUAGAGGUGAGUUACCAGGGCCUGGAUACGGAGAACCAGCGCUUACAGAAGGCUCUGGAGAACAGCAGCAAGAAGAUCCAGCAACUCGAGGUGGAGCUUCAGGAAGUGGAGACGGAAAAUCAGACGCUACAGCGGAGUUUGGAGGAGCUGAAGAUCUCGAGUAAACGCCUGGAGCAGCUGGAGCAAGAGAACAAAGUGCUGGAGCAGGAAACGUCGCAGUUGGAGAAAGACAAAAAGCUCCUGGAGAAAGAGAACAAACGUCUGAGGCAACAGGCCGAGAUCAAAGACUCCAAACUCGACGACAACAACCAGCGGAUCUCUGCUCUGGAGAAAGAGAACCGCAACAUGGGCAAAGAGAUGAUCUUCUUCAGAGACUCGUGCACCAGAGUCAAAGACCUGGAGAGAGAGAACAAAGAGCUGCUGAAACAGGCCAGCAUCGACAAGAAGACGCUCGUCACGCUCAGAGAGGAGCUGGUGAGUGAAAAGCUCCGGACUCAACAGAUGAACAACGAUCUGGAGAAACUGACGCACGAACUGGAGAAGAUCGGACUCAACAAAGAGCGACUUCUACACGAUGAAAGCUCCGACGACAGGUUUAAGCUCCUGGAGUCGAAGCUUGAGUCAACUCUGAAGUCGUCUUUAGAGAUCAAGGAGGAGAAGAUCGCUGCUCUAGAGGCGAGAUUACAGGAGUCGUCAAACCUCAACCAGCAGCUUCGACAAGAGCUUAAGACGGUGAAGAAAAACUACGAAGCUCUGCGACAAAGAGAGGAAGAGGAAAGGAUGGUCCAGAGCUCGCCCCCUAAAGGCGGGGAGGACCAAAAGUCUGCGAAUAAAUGGGAGAAGGAGAGCCACGAGGCCACACGAGAACUGCUCAAAGUCAAAGACCGGCUUAUUGAGGUGGAAAGGAAUAACGCGACACUUCAGGCGGAGAAAGCUGCUCUGAGAAGCCAGCUCAAACAACUAGAGACUCAGAGCUCCAACCUCCAGGCUCAGAUCGUGGCUCUGCAGAGACAAACCGCCUCUUUACAGGAGAACAACACAACGCUGCAAACUCAAAACGCAAAGCUGCAGGUUGAAAACUCCACGCUGAGCUCCCAGAGUGCGUCGCUCAUGGCCCAGAACGCCCAGCUGCAGAGCCAGCAGAGCGGGCUGGAGGGGGAGAGAGAGGGGGCGCUGAGGGAGAAGGAGGAGGUGCGGUCCACGUACGAACUUCUGCUGAGAGACCACGAGAAGCUGGCCGCGCUCCACGAGAGGCAGGCCGCCGAGUACGAGGCUCUGAUCGGAAAACACGGAGGUCUGAAGAGCUCGCACAAAAGUCUGGAGCAGCAACACCGAGACCUGGAGGACAAGUACAAGCAGCUGUUGCAGAGGAAAGCAGAUCUAGAGCAACUGGAAAAAAGUCUGAAGGAGCAGCAAGAAAAAAUGACAUCUGAAAAUGAGGCUCACAAGGCGACGGCUGAUAAGUGCAGACUGCUCAAAGAAGAAAAUGAAAGACUCAACACGACGUAUCAGCAGCUCAUGAAGGACAAUGAGACGCUGCAGCUCGACCAUAAAAACAUAAAGAGCCAACUGAACAACGCCAAACUGGAACAGACCAAACUGGAGGCCGAGUUCUCCAAACUGAAGGAGCAAUAUCAACAACUGGACAUUACAUCGACCAAACUCACCAACCAGUGCGAGCUGUUGAGUCAGUUAAAGGGAAACCUGGAGGAGGAGAACCGUCACCUGCUGGACCAGAUCCAGACCCUGAUGCUGCAGAACCGCACUCUCCUGGAGCAGACCAUGGAGAGCAAGGACCUCUUCCACGUGGAGCAGAGACAAUACAUAGACAAGCUGAACGAGCUGAGGAGACAGAAAGAGAAGCUUGAGGAGAAGAUAAUGGACCAGUAUAAGUUUUAUGACCCUUCACCUCCGCGCAGGCGUGGAAACUGGAUCACUCUGAAGAUGAAGAAGCUGAUCAAGCCAAAGAGGGAGAGGAUGCGCUCGCUCACUUUGACCCCGUCCCGCUCAGAGUCAGGUGACGCUCUGGCUCUGCCUCUGGACAGUCAGGACAGCUCCUCCAUCGGCUCCGGCACCAACUCUCUGGACGACACGCUCACGCAGAAGAGGAGCAACACUCUAAAAAGGCUGCCAUUCAUGAGGAACAGGUCCAAGGAGAAAGACAAAGCCAAGGCCAUCUACCGGCGCUCCAUGUCCAUGAACGACCUGCUGCAGACCAUGGCGGUGGCGGGGGGUCCUGAGGCGCAGUGGGCGCUCAGCAUCGACAACCUGGACGGAGGAGAAUCUCUGGACUCGACGGGAUCCACGCGACGCAACGGUCAGAGACUCAAAGAACUGGCCCUGUCGUCCAACGCCAUCGACUGCGAGGCGCUCACACUGCCCUCUGCAGGACACGGCAGGAACAAGCUCCGGAUCAGGGUCAAAGACGAUGCUUCCUGUGAGGAUGUGGCCGGCUCCUCUGACGAUCCCAAGAGUCAAGCCUCCAGACCCUCCAGUCUCCGUAGCAACAGGACCAGUAGUAAUAGUAACAAUAACUCUCACCUCACCUCUCCCCUGGAGCCCAAAGGGACUCUGAACGGGAGCCUGAGUCGGCCCCACAGUGAGAGCAGUGGGGAGUUCAGCCUGAGUCUGGACCAGGACGUGUGGUCCAGCAGUGGGAGCAGUCCAGUGCAGCAGCCCUCCCUGUCCCGCACGUCCCACCAGAGCCCCCUGCAGCUGCGGCGGUCCCUGGACCCGUCCACCGCGGCCUGCCUGGGACAGGCCCAGAUCAGGAAGAACGGCUCCCCCGGCAACGAAGUCGUGUCUUUACAGCAGUUUCUUGACGAGGGGAUUGACCCGACAGAGUCGGGGAGUCAGGAGAACCUCACAGUGGACUCUCCUCGACUCUCCACAUCCUCUGACCAUGGAGCGAAGGAGCGUCCCGCCACUAAAGGCCGAGGAAUCCUCCGCUCGUCCAGCGGGCGAGCCGCUCCCGUCGGGUCAGAGCGCCCCCCCAGGUCCUCAGCUCAGCCGGGACGUCCUGCCCUGCGUAAGGCUGAGAGCACCCGCGUGAAGGGCACUGUCCCGCGCCUGUCCACUCAGACCAAAGCCUUGUCUGUUUCCGAUCGCCUGGACUCCACCUCCUCCACCCUGCCCCGGGCCAGCAGCGUCAUCUCCACCGCCGAGGGCACCACCCGCCGCACCAGUAUCCACGACAUGCUGUCCAAGGACAACAGACAGCCCGUGUCCGUGGACGCGUCCCCUCCGACACCACCCACAAAGGCGGGACUGCGCUCCCAGCCCACCCCCAGUGAGUACCACCCAAACAGCAGCGCCGCCCCCCUGCCCAAGUCCCUGAGCUUACCCUGCCACAGCCUGGACGACCCCGAGCUCUCCAACCUAGAGUCGCUCCUGGGCCCCUCGUUCACUGUGGAGUCUGUGUUCAUGGACUCCAUCUUUAGUGAGUCGUCCUCUAAAAACCUGCCCUUCCUGUCCCUGAAUCCUACUUUAGUCAGUAACAUCAGCGGCCCCCCCAAAGCCCACGCCAGCCCCCUGUCCCACAGCUCCGCCCCUCCGUCCCAGAGCCGGGGGUACGAGCAGGGUCAUAGUUCAGACGAGGCCGUGAGCCCCGAGGAGCAGGCUCUGUGGUACGAGUACGGCUGUGUGUAACUCACAAACACUGAUGCAUGAUGGUCCGACACUGGGGCUUCUGUUGGAGUGGGGACUUCACUUCCUUUUUUUGUUCACUUCAUUUGGGAAUAAUGUGUCCAGCGUUUACUGUUGUGUUUCCUUCUUUAAAAUGGUUCACAGACGAGCAUGAUGUAAAGGGCUUUCUCUGGUGUUAUGUAAGUGUUUUGUGAGGUGUCUCUUCAGUUUGUUGCAUUUUAUCCCAGAAACAGUUUGGCAAAUAUGAAGCAAAAUGUGUUCAUUUUGUGUUUGUUUUCGCUCACACUCACGGCUUUUGUUCCUCGCGCUAAACUGCAUGGCUUUGAUAUGAACUGUUCAAAGAGUCAUUUUGAUUUAAUUUAAUCAAAAUGGGGUCAAGUUUGUUUUUAUUUUGUCACUUUUCUGUAUUUUCUUUGUGGUGGAUGUUUCAUUGGGUGAUGAAAAAUGCCACGAGUUCAUUCACAAAGUCACAAAAUAUGAGCUGGUCAUUUUGGAAACGCUUCAUCAGAUUUUAAUUGCAAAUAUUUUGGGAAUGAAGCAUCAUGGGGAAAGUUAAACCCGUGCAUCAGUGGGUGGUUAUAAAUGAGAUGUACAGAUUAUUGUAAACAUUUAUUUAUAUUAUAUUCCUUUGACGAGCACUGCUCUGCGUGUCAAUGCUAGAAAUACUUUCAGUUUAUUUAUUUUAUUAUUAUUUCAGCUUCUUUUGUUCUGUUUUUAUUUUUACUUCGGGGUCAUACAGAUGUAACGUGACCGUUGCCUUUGUCCUGCAGAUGUCGAGGGCAGAAAGUCUAAAAGCCGGAGCGGGGAGCCCCAGUCAGGCCGCUAACCCCGCCCCCCGGUCCAGUGUGUGCGCUCCCAUGCUGAGCGCGUGUGGUGAGUGUGGCCUUGGAGCUGUGUGUUGAAGAUUUCUAGCCUAAAGACUCCAUUGAGAAGAUUGUAAAUGUCUGGGUUUUGUAUGUAAACAUUUUAGUAGAGAAAAGUAUUUCCUUCUCUGUUCAGUUUUUGUUUCUUCCUUGAAUCAAGGAAAGUGGAAAAGGCGCUAAAGAAAAUCAAGGUGUUGUUUUGUAAAGUUGAGGCAGAUUGUUUUGCCGCUGUAUUUGACCUGCACUAAAGGUUUAUAGUGCCAAUAUUCACAACAGCCAAAAGGACGACUCCGACACCCCCCUGGAUCUACACGUGGACUUUGUGACUGGAACUUUGGAAGCAGCAGCAGCCGCACUAGCACUACUUCUGUCCUGCUCUUAAGCCAUAGACUACAGCCAUCCAGUUUGGCUUGUACAUUUUACACGCAUGUUGGCACAAACCUUUGCUCAAAAUGAACAAUCAGACUGCAUGGAGCAAUCAAACCCAGUCACACCACGAGCUGAGGACGUCAGGAGGAAGGAAAGCCAUGGAGUCGUGUGAUUGGUCUGAUGCAAGAGACUGGACAAGAACUACAAACUCACACAAUAUCCCAUAAGUCAUCGUCUUUCUGCCUAAACACUCUUCAUGACGGGUUCAGCCUGAGUCCUAAAUAAAAGCACAGAUUAUUGUUACUGUAGACUGGGCGACGCCUGUCCAGUGCUGUGACGUUUUCUUCUAUUUCCAGUUUUACAAAAAUCCCUUGAUGUUAUUAAAAUC